AUUGAACGCUGGCGGCAGGCCUAACACAUGCAAGUCGAGCGGAUGAAGGGAGCUUGCUCCUGGAUUCAGCGGCGGACGGGUGAGUAAUGCCUAGGAAUCUGCCUGGUCUUGGGGGAUAACGUCCGUAAACGGGCGCUAAUACCGCAUACGUCCUGAGGUAGAAAGUGGGGGAUCUUCGGACCUCACGCUAUCAGAUGAGCCUAGGUCGGAUUAGCUAGUUGGUGGGGUAAGGGCCUACCAAGGCGACGAUCCGUAACUGGUCUGAGAGGAUGAUCAGUCACACUGGAACUGAGACACGGUCCAGACUCCUACGGGAGGCAGCAGUGGGGAAUAUUGGACAAUGGGCGAAAGCCUGAUCCAGCCAUGCCGCGUGUGUGAAGAAGGUCUUCGGAUUGUAAAGCACUUUAAGUUGGGAAGAAGGGCAGUAAGUUAAUACCUUGCUGUUUUGACGUUACCAACAGAAUAAGCACCGGCUAACUUCGUG
rnacentral:rRNA from 1 species